GGAAGUUUGGCCGAGUGGUUAAGGCGGUAGUUUUAAGCUCUGCGGCUUGGGACAAACACUACUACAGCGAUGUGCGUGGGUUCGAACCCCACAGCUUCCA